rnacentral:lncRNA from 1 species
UUGGGCACCAUAUUGAAAGUCAUACUCAGUGCCCCUUAAAUGCAGUUAAUUUUUUUCAAACUAAUUUCCCAGAAUGAGAAGUUCUGUGAAACAAGAGCCUGGCCAGUUUCUCAUGAAGAGAAGAUUAAUGCUAGGAUCUAUUUAAAAUCACAUUGCUUAUGUCAAAUGACCUUUCAAUAAUUGUUUAUAAAAGAGCUUAUUUAAAAUAUAAAAAGCUGUUUCCCCCAAAAGUUGUAUGUGUCCUCCUAGAAACAAAUUAAUAGGAGCAAAUAGUAGUGUUCUUGGAAAUCCCUUGGAUAAAUAAUUUGGCACACACUGUUCCCUUUAGCCCCACCUCACCUGGGGCUACACCUUUGUUCCUCUCUUGAAUCAGCUCUGCUGAAGUCCUAUCUUAUUCUCUGCUCGCUGGUUGCUUUUCUGUCCCUCUACUCCACCUCCCAUAUCCUCAGCUCCUGUGGAUCUUUCUUUCCACAUAAUUCCUUGGCCACUCCUAUCCAUACCCCUUAGAAAGCGAACCCCACAGGGCUGGGAACUGAUUUUUCUUCACUGUCAUUGUGUCCUCAGCAUGCUGCCUGGGUCAUAGUAGUUGCACAAUAAAUAUUUGUUGGAUGAAUGACUGCAUGGGUCACCAGCUACUAAACACACCCUGGCUGGCAUUGUUCAUCUGAGGAAGCUGAGGAACAAAGAGCCACAUCGGCAGGUCUCUCUGAAGCCUUAUGGGUGCGCGUGGGGACAUCUAGGCUGCCCCGGGGAUGCAGGAAAGGCACAAGACCGUGUGAAGCUCCAAGGGGAGAACCCUGAGCACAGUGGAUACAGGCUGUGGUUUCAUGGAGCUCAGAUAAAUCAGGUGAGACUGACUAAACAGAUCUUUAAAAACUGCUUUGUGCUAUCACUUCACACCAGUCAGAAUGGCUAUUAUCAAAAAGAUAAGCGAUAACAAAUGCUGGCAAGUUUGUGGAGUAAAUGGAAACUGGUGCACUAUUGGUAGGAGAGUAAAUUUGUGCAGCCACCAUGGAAAACGGUAUGGACGUUCCUCAAAAAAUUAAAAAUAGAACUAUCAUAUGACCUAGCAAUUUUAAUUCUGGGUAAUUAUCUGAAUAAA